rnacentral:misc_RNA from 1 species
GAUGAAGAACGUAGCGAAAUGCGAUAAGUAAUGUGAAUUGCAGAAUUCAGUGAAUCAUCGAAUCUUUGAACGCACAUUGCGCCCAUCAGUAUUCUGGCGGGCAUGCCUGUUCGAGCGUCAUUACGCCCCUCAAGUCCCCUGUGGACUUGGUGUUGGGGAUCGGCGAGGCUGGUUUUCCAGCACAGCCGUCCCUUAAAUUAAUUGGCGGUCUCGCCGUGGCCCUCCUCUGCGCAGUAGUAAAACACUCGCAACAGGAGCCCGGCGCGGUCCACUGCCGUAAAACCCCCCAACUUUUUAUAGUUGACCUCGCAUCAGGUAGGACUACCCGCUGAACUUAAGCAUAUCAAUAAGCGGAGGA